rnacentral:rRNA from 1 species
UACAGAGGGUGCAAGCGUUGCUCGGAAUCACUGGGCGUAAAGCGCACGUAGGCGGAUUGCUAAGUCAGGGGUGAAAUCCUGGAGCUCAACUCCAGAACUGCCUUUGAUACUGGCGACCUUGAGUCCGGGAGAGGUGAGUGGAACUGCGAGUGUAGAGGUGAAAUUCGUAGAUAUUCGCAAGAACACCAGUGGCGAAGGCGGCUCACUGGCCCGGUACUGACGCUGAGGUGCGAAAGCGUGGGGAGCAAACAGG